rnacentral:pre_miRNA from 1 species
GGGGGGAGGCCGGAUCCUGGGCUGUGUCCCGGCGCCCUGUGCUCCGGCGACUGCGCUGUUGGAUUCGCGCUCCCGCCCCGCAGCCCCCU